rnacentral:rRNA from 1 species
GAGUUUGAUCCUGGCUCAGGACGAACGCUAGCGGCGUGCCUAAGAAAUGCAAGUUGAGCGGGGUGAUGGACUUCGGUUUAUUCACCUAGCAGCGAACGGUCGCGUAACACGUAAGCAACCUGCCUCGAAGUUUGGGAUAGCCCUCCGAAAGGAGGAGUAAUACCGGAUGUGGAUAUAUUUUGACCUCAUUAUAUAUCUAAAGCAUUUAUGCGCUUUGAGAUGGGCUUGCGGCCUAUCAGCUAGUUGGUGGGGUAACGGCCUACCAAGGCGACGACGGGUAGCUGGUCUGAGAGGAUGAUCAGCCGAAUUGGGACUGAGAUACGGCCCAGACUCCUACGGGGGGCAGCAAUUAGGAAUCUUGCGCAAUGGGCGAAAGCCUGACGCAGCGACGCCGCGUGACUGAUGAAGUCUUUCGGGAUGUAAAGGUCUUUUCUGAAGGAAGAACACAAUGACGGUACUUCAGGAAUAAGCCCCGGCUAACUACGUGCCAGCAGCCGCGGUAAUACGUAGGGGGCGAGCGUUGUCCGAAUUUACUGGGCGUAAAGCGCGCGUAGGCGGGCUAUUAAGUUGAUGGUGAAAUCCCGGGGCUCAACCUCGGAAGUGCCUUCAAAACUGGUAGCCUUGAGGUUUGGAGAGGGAACUGGAAUUCCUGGUGUAGCGGUGAAAUGCGUAGAUAUCAGGAGGAACACCCAUGGCGAAGGCAGGUUCCUGGCCAAAUCCUGACGCUGAGGUGCGAAAGCUAGGGUAGCGAACGGGAUUAGAUACCCCGGUAGUCCUAGCCGUAAACGAUGGAUACUAGGUGUUAGAGGUAUCGACCCCUCUAGUGCCGAAGCUAACGCAUUAAGUAUCCCGCCUGGGGAGUACGACCGCAAG